CCCCCAAAAGGCAAAAACGCCCAAACACACGGCCCAAAGCCUCAAUGUUUGUUCAGACGGGCCCCAAAGGCCUCUAUCUCAUCUCAUAUGUAUCUCUGUAUCUGGAGGGGAAGGGUACUGUCCAAUGAUUUUCCAAACAACAUUUUAUACACAUGUACUUAAACAUAUAAUCACAUCUGAAAUCUCAUUUUCUUUUUAUUCAACAUAUCUCAAAAUCCACUCAAUUCUAAUAUCAUGCAUUUACUGAAAAACGAUAAUAAAAUCAUUAAUCAAACUCAUUCUUAAUAACAAUAAACACCAACACAUAGAUAAAAAUCAAUUUUCUAGAAAAUCAUUAAAUCGAAGCAUCAAAAACAUGUUGUACUGUAUAGCUCUUUUGUCUGUUUUGGGUUGCCUUUAAUCUUUCCUGAAUAAGUUGUAUCUUCUCAUUAGUAUUCUGAACCAAUUCGGGACCAAAAAGCUUCUGCUCUCCAACCUCAUCCCAACAUACAGGAGUUCUACAUUUCCUGCCAUAUAAAGCCUCAUAAGGUGCCAUCUCGAUGCUAGCUUGAUAACUGUUAUUAUAAGCAAACUCCAUCAAGGGUAAAUAAAUGUCCCAACUACCCUUAAACUCCAAAACACAAGCUUGUAACAUAUCCUCCAGGGUUUGAAUAGUACGCUCUAACUGACCAUCAGUCUGUGGAUGAAAAGUUGUACUAAAAUUCAACUUGGUGCCUAAAGCCUUUUGCAAGCUUACUUAGAAGUGAAUCAAGAAUCUCUAUUUGAAAUAAUAGAUACAGGUGCUCCGUGAAGUCAAACUAUCUCGGCCACAAAAAUAUUCCCUAACUUGUCCAUCGAAUAGGUGGUCUUGAAUGGUAAAAAGUGAGCAGAUUUUGUAAGUCGAUCAACAAUUACCCAAACACUAUCAUAACCACUUUGGGUACCUGGAAGUCCCGCUACAAAAUCCAUGGUGAUGUGCUCCCAUUUCCACUCAGGGAUAGGAAGCGGCUGCGAAAACCCUGCAGGUCUCUGAUGUUCAGCCUUAAUCUACUGACAAACUAAACACCGAGAUACAAAUUCUGCUAUCUCUCUCUUCAUACCUUGCCACCAGUAAUGAUCUUUCAAGGUACGGUACAUCUUCGUACUACCAGGAUGUAUUGCUUAAGCUGAACAAUGAGCUUCUUCUAUGAUCUCUUUUUUCAACUCCUUAAUGUCAAGUACGCAAAGUCGAUUACCUAUAACUAAAACUCCAUCAUCUCUCACCGCAAAAUCAGUUCGUAAGCCUUUUUGCACAUCCUUUUUCAACUUCAGUAACUGCAAAUCCUGAUCUUGCAUCUGAUGGACUUUGUCAAUUAAAGUCGGCCUAACUCGAAAAUUAGCUAUCAAAGUUCUGCAAUUUUCAACUUGCAAUUCAACUCCCAAAGAUCUCAGCUCGAUCAAUAAAGGCAUAUAUGUCACUCGCAAGUGAGCUAUAGAGUUGGAAGACUUCCUACUUAACGCAUCAGCUACCACAUUCGCUUUGCCCGGAUGAUAAUUAGUAGUGCAAUCGUAGUCCUUAGUGAAAAUCUAGCAUGUUGCUCCUUAUAAAUAAUGCCUUCAUAUCUUGAGUGCAAAUACCACUACUGCUAACUCUAAAUCAUGAGUCGGAUAGUUUUGUUCAUGCUUUUUAAGUUGUUUAGAAGCAUAAGCCACUACUUUCCCAUGUUGCAUUAGCACACAACCCAAUCCUUGUCUGGAUGCAUCAUUGUAUACUACAAACCCUUCAUUACCCGAUGGAAGUGUAAGAAUUGGUGUUGAAGUAAGACGUGCCUUGAGUUCUUGAAAGCUCUUUUCACAAUCAUCAUCCCACUGGAACUUAGCAUUCUUUCUAGUUAACCAUGUCAGAAGAGUAGCAAUCUUGCAGAAUCCCUCCGCAAAUCUAUGAUAAUAGCCAACUAAUCCAAGGAAACUUCGAACCUCGGUCACAUUUAUAGGUCAUUCCCAAUUUACAACUGCUUUGAUCUUUUGACAAUCGACAUAAAUUCCUUCAGUUGAUAUCACAUGGCCUAGAAAUACUACUUUAUCCAACCAGAACUCACACUUGUUGAACUUGGCGUACGAUUGUUUUUACCUUAAAGUCUGCAAAACAGUCCGCAAGUGCUCCGCAUGUUCCUCCUAACUCCGAGAAUACACUAAAAUAUCAUCAAUAAAGACAAUUACAAAUCGAUCCAGAUAAGGGCGAAAUACCUUAUUCAUAAGAUCCAUAAAAGCUGCUGGAGCAUUUAUUAACCCAAAUGGCAUCACCAAGAACUCAUAGUGUCCAUAACGGGUUCUGAGUGCUUUUUUAGGAACAUCGGCCUCUUUAAUUCUAAGUUGAUGAUAUCCCAAGCGCAAAUCAAUCUUAGAAAACACAUUCGCUCCCUGAAGUUGAUCAAAUAAGUCAUCAAUACGCGGAAGUGGAUAUUUAUAACAUACUAUAACUUUAUUCAACUGCCUAUAGUCAAUGCAGAGUCUAAGAGUACCAUCCUUUUUCUUAACAAACAAAACCGGAGCUCCCUACGGAGAUACACUAGGUCUAAUAAACCCUUUAUCCACCAAUUCUUGCAGUUGAAUCUUAAGUUCCUUUAGUUCAGCUGGAGCCAUCCUAGAUGGUGCUAUAGAUAUAGGAGCCGUCCCAGGAACUAAAUCAAUAGAAAACUCAAUCUCUCUGUUAGGUGGCAUCCUUGGAAGUUCAUCAGAAAAUACAUCUGAAAACUCCUAGACUACUAGAAUAUCCUCCAAUCUCAACUCCCGAACUUCAGUGUCUAUUACGUAUGCAAGAAAAGCCGAGUCACCCUUUCUUAGUAAGCGUCUUGCAUCAAUGGCCGAUAUGACAUAUGAGGGUAAAACUCUACACUCACCACAAAAUUUAACCUCAAUUUCUCUUGGCUUAUUGAACACAACUUCUUUUUUGAAACAAUCCAUAGUAGUAUGGUGAGAUGCAAGCCAAUCCAUGCCUAAAAUGGCAUCGAAAUCUCGAAUGUCUAAAAUAAUCAAAUUCACCCCAAAUUCAUGCUCACCCAAUCGAAUCAUGCAAUCUCGAUACACCCUCUCGGCAAGCAAUGACCCUCCGGUAGGUGUACUAACAACUAAAUCAUAAUCCAAUAAUUCAGGCUCUCUCUCUAUAUGCAUAACAAAUGUACGAGAAACAAAAGAAUGCGUGGAUUCAGGAUCAAUAAGAAUAUGAGCAUCAUGGCCAAAGAUAGAUAAUGUACCCAUAAUAACUUCUAGUGUAGCAUGAGCCUCCUGCUGUGUCAAGGCAAAAACUCGAGCCUGAGUACAAGGUUGACCAGGUUGACCUCUCUAACUUGGAACAGUGGCCUGACUCCUAAAUAUGGAACCCUCUAUCUGCAUACCCCUUUGACCUUGGGCUAAUCCAAAGUGAGAUUGAUACUGUGGGGCUGUCCUUCGAGCAGAACUGUAACCCUGAGAUAAAGUGGGGUAGAAUCUCUUAAUAUGUCCAUGUUGUCCACAUAAAUAACACAUAUUGUCUCCAAAACAACAUUGGCCUUGAUGGUUCUUACCACACAAGGGGCAAGAGGUUUGAUGUAUACUCAUGCGGUGUCCUCUACUAUUCCUGUCAUACUACCCCUGAGUCCUAACGUUACUCCCCACUGAUGGUUGUGCCAAACUCUAACUGACGGUCUGUCUCUGAUCUCCCCUGCUGCUUAUACUCUGAUUCUUUUGCACGCCAGCAGAGUAAUUUAUAUGUGAGCCUCACUUUGGCAGUCUACUACUCGAGCCACCCUCUGUCCAACUCUGGCUACGUUUUUGUUUCAGAGCUUGAACUCUACGCCCCUCAGGCAUACUAUGCUCUACUCUCUUGGCUGCCUCAACUACCUCAGCAAACUUAGUGUACCUUGAUGUCGUCACAGUUGUAUGAAUCUCAAAUCGGAGACCCUCCUCAAAACGCCUGCAUAUCUCUCUCUCAUCACCAACUGCUGAAGUGGAAAAUCUAGAAAAAUCCAAAAAUUUCUUCUCAUACUCUUCUACUAACAUAGAUCCUUGAACCAAUCGAAGGCAUUCACUCCACUUAAUAUCCUGAUACACAGCUGGAAAAUAAUGAUCAUAGAAUUCCUUACGGAAAAUAGCUCAUGUAAGCGCAACAUGCCCUUGGUAUCUACACUCUACUGUUUGCCACUAAUAAUAAGCCCUAUCCUCAAGUAGAAAAGUGACAAAUGAAAGUCUAUCCUCCUCUGAGCAUCUCAUCACUUCAAAAAUACGUUCUAAUUUAAUAAGCCACGACUCUGCCUCAGGUGGAUCACCAGAACCAUUAAAACUCUUUGCCCCUAAACUUCGUACAUGCUCGAUAGUAUUUUCAUGACCGACAUGCGGAUGAGUCUAAUUCUAUACCACUGUAGUCACAAUCUGAGCUCAUCUAUCAAUUGACUGCUCAAUGUUCGGAGCAUUUCUUGGUGCCUGUUGCACAACCUCGUGCGUUGAAGACUCAACUAUUCCCUCGUUUACAAGAUCAUUUUCCCCCGCAGGUACAUCUCCUGGAGUCAACCCAGCUACUAGCCUAGUACGGCCACGGCCACGGCCACGACCACGUCUGCGCCCACGUCUACUGCUACGACGAAUCAUGAUGGUGCCUACAAAAUAUCAAUUCUGACUUUAAUAACAAUAAAACUUAUUCUAUUUAUGAGAGUAAAGUCUAUAGAAUCUAAAACAAUGCUCUGAUACCAACUUGAAACGACCUUUCCCACACCCCCAGGAUGAGUCUAUCUAAACUCGUAUAAUCGAAUCAAUAAUAAUUAUCAUAUCUAAGAAUUCUAUCAAAAAUUCGACAGAAUCUCCCCUAUAAAUAAAACAUCCCCAAACUUGCAAUUUACAAAACAAUACUCCCAAAAUAAUUCAAUAUCCAUUCAUCCUUCAUAACCAACUUCUCAAGUCAAAAUACCAAAUAUCACACAAAUCAUUCUAAUAUUAAAAUACAAUGGUUAUCCUUAAUUAUAAAAUUUAACAAAUAAAUACAAUUUGCAAUAUCCCAAAUAUCAAAAUAUUAAAUCUACGACUCCUAACACCAUCACGUGGCCACAAUUUUAAAUCUAACUAUUGUUGCUGGGUCGACUGAUGUACCUGCAAAUCUCCUGUGGGGGGGAGGGAAUAUAAUAAAAACGGGGUGAGUAUAAAACUCAGUGAACUCAGUGAGCUCAGUGAGUGGAUAGUAGUUUUUGAAAAAUAAAUUUAUUUAAAAUGAUUUAAUCUUUCUCAAAUCAAUUUCAUCAAAAUAUCGUAAGAACUUACAUAAAUAUAUUCAAUUCAAAUCAUGCACUGAAAUAACUAUAUUAUAUAAAUAUGCAUAAAAUCAAUGAAAUCAUAAUACUUAUAAUAUCAAAUACUGAAUACCAAAAACUAUCACCAAACAAGUACCUAGGGGAAUGAUCUCAUCAUAUCCGGACCUCGACGGACGGGCAAUCAGGAAACAAUCAUGCCCCGGAGCUACAACGGAUAGACAGGGAAAUCUCAUCUCAUAUCUCAUGUAUCUCAACAUCUGUAUCUCUAGAAUCAUCAUACUGCAUGCAUAAGCCCACAAAAAGGUAAAAACGCCCAAACAUACGGCCCAAAGCCUCAAUGUGUGUUCAGACAGGCCCCAAAAGCCUCCAUCUCAUCUCAUCAGUAUCUCUAUAUCUGGAGGGGAAGGGUAUUGUCCAAUAAUUUUCCAAACAACAUUUUAUACACAUGUACAUAAACAUAUAAUCACAUCUGAAAUCUCAUUUUCUUUUUAUUCAACAUAUCUCAAAAUCCACUCAAUUCUAAUAUCAUGCAUUUACUCAAAAACGAUAAUAAAAUCAUUAAUCAAACUCAUUCUUAAUAACAAUAAAUAUCAACACAUAGAUAAAAAUCAAUUUUCUAGAAAAUCAUUAA
rnacentral:lncRNA from 1 species